GCAUAUCAUAAGCGGAGGAAAAGAAACUAACAAGGAUUCCCCUAGUAACUGCGAGUGAAGCGGGAAAAGCUCAAAUUUAAAAUCUGGCAGUCUUUGAUUGUCCGAGUUGUAAUCUAGAGAAGCAUUAUCCGCGCUGGACCGUGUACAAGUCUCCUGGAAUGGAGCGUCAUAGAGGGUGAGAAUCCCGUCUUUGACACGGACUGCCAGGGCUUUGUGAUGUGCUCUCAAAGAGUCGAGUUGUUUGGGAAUGCAGCUCAAAAUGGGUGGUAAAUUCCAUCUAAAGCUAAAUAUUGGCGAGAGACCGAUAGCGAACAAGUACCGUGAGGGAAAGAUGAAAAGAACUUUGGAAAGAGAGUUAAACAGUACGUGAAAUUGCUGAAAGGGAAACGCUUGAAGUCAGUCGCGUUGUCCGGGAAUCAACCUUGCUUUUGCUGGGCGUACUUCCUGGUUAACGGGUCAGCAUCAAUUUUGAUCGUUGGAUAAAGUGUUUGGGAAUGUGGCAUCUUCGGAUGUGUUAUAGCCCAGAUUCGCAUACAACGGUUGGGAUUGAGGAACUCAGCACGCCGAAAGGCCGGGUUUUUAACCACGUUCGUGCUUAGGAUGCUGGCAUAAUGGCUUUAAUCGACCCGUCUUGAAACACGGACCAAGGAGUCUAACAUGCCUGCGAGUGUUUGGGUGGAAAACCCGAGCGCGUAAUGAAAGUGAAAGUUGAGAUCCCUGUCGUGGGGAGCAUCGACGCCCGGACUUGAACUUCUGUGACGGAUCCGCGGUAGAGCAUGUAUGUUGGGACCCGAAAGAUGGUGAACUAUGCCUGAAUAGGGUGAAGCCAGAGGAAACUCUGGUGGAGGCUCGUAGCGAUUCUGACGUGCAAAUCGAUCGUCAAAUUUGGGUAUAGGGGGCGAAAGACUAAUCGAACCCAUCUAGUAGCUGGGUUCCUGCGA
rnacentral:rRNA from 1 species